CUGGGCCCCGCCUGGGCCUCAAGUGUGGCCUCCGAACCCUCCAGUUGGGGUGGCCCGGGUCAGGGUAGCUGCUGAGCCCAGAGCAGGAAGUUUGUGAAUUGACUCACGCAGAGGCAGCUCCGCCCAAAUGGGGAAAAGGGAAGUGAAAGUAUCUCUCAGUUGCUGGGCAGACAGACUUGUGGCAGCAGGAACAAAGGAGUGACAGUCAGGGCCUGGAGGAGCAGGGCCAGCCCCCUGGAGGGGGGCCACUUCGGUGUGCAAAGACACAGAAAUAUCUAUGUGUCCAUAAGUGUUUCUGUCCUUCUAUCUGAGGUUUCCGAGGGUAAUAGGGGUAGGGAGAGGGGAGCUGUGUGUUUGCCACCUUUCCCUCGCCAACGAGGCUGUGGGGGGGGGACAGAGGGAGAGACAGAAACUUAAAAUCUCCCUUCCUGCGGGAGAGCCUGGACCCCGACCAGGGAGAAGGAGACACGUGGAGAGAAGUCGCUGGAAUGCUGACCGGCACAGGCUUCCCUUGGAUGCAGAUGGAGAUUGGAACCGAGAUGAUCUGGAAGCAAAUACAUGGGCAGGCGAGCCCCGCUGGGAGGGUGACCCUCUGCCUCGGAGUCCUGUCUGUUCACAGAUUUCUCAUUCGGAUUUGGAGUCAUCAUUCCACAAAGCAUGAGACUUAAUUACAUUUGAAACUGCAGGGGAAAGAGGUUUCUACCCUCUUUCUGUGGAUGUUCUGUCUUCCCCGCAGAGGGGUGAACAUCAGUCUGGUUGGGAUUCUAGGAUGCUUCUAAGGACGUCUUUAACCACGAGCAGGGUCUCUGUGUGCACCAGGUGCUGCACGCUUGUGGAUCUCGUCCCCUCUCCCUCUCUCACUCACUCUCAGGGGUACAAGGACUAGUAAGUUGAGCUACUGUUGGGCACAACUGUCCUCUGCUUCUUGCCUCCAUAGGACAUGUGGCCCAGACAAGGCCUGACACAGACGACACGACUUUUCUAGCGUCCCCUGUCUCUGUCCCUGGGCAGCAGGCUGACCCAGGCGACCACUGUGCCGGGUGUUGGCAUAAACAUGCCAGCUUUUCUGUGGCUCUGCUUAGGGUCGCUGAGAUGAGCACUUGGAAUAGAGGCCACCGAGCAGCUAGCCAGUGGGGUAGGGAGAUCCACAGGUGGCCCUCGUGGGACUGACAGUGACACCUGGGGCUGGUCCUGGCCUGGAAGGAGGGAAGGGGCUGCCCCCGUGGGGCCAGGGGGAGCUGGACACGCAUCACCUCUGUAAGAGCAGCAGUGGUUCCUGAGGAAUCUGGAGGCCUCUGUAAAGAAAGCAAAGUUUCUGUGAUCCAGAAAAAGCCAGACCCGCCAGGUUAGGAUAGGGACAGGACCAGCUUGAGGAGCAGAUUUCACUCCUGAAAAUCCUCCUGGACUCAUUUGAAGGAAACAAGGAAGCGCCUGGGGCACUUUUUGCAGCUUCAAGGAACACUGACACCAGGGCCACCGUCACUGUUCCGGAAGAAGCACAAGUGCUCGACCUGGAGGCCUGGAAAGCCGGAGAAGCCACACUGAGGAGGAACCACAGGGCAAAGAAGCCACCAAGGGGACGGGCUCAGUAAGUGUCACCAGGAGCAGAUUCUGUUCAGACUUUGAAGGUGGGUCCAAGUCUCCAAUCUGGGAGACCCCUG
rnacentral:lncRNA from 1 species